rnacentral:rRNA from 1 species
UACGGGGGGGGCAAGCGUUGUUCGGAAUUACUGGGCGUAAAGGGCGCGUAGGCGGCCUGCUAAGUCAGACGUGAAAUCCCUCAGCUUAACUGGGGAACUGCGUCUGAUACUGGAUGGCUUGAGUUUGGGAGAGGGAUGCGGAAUUCCAGGUGUAGCGGUGAAAUGCGUAGAUAUCUGGAGGAACACCGGUGGCGAAGGCGGCAUCCUGGACCAACACUGACACUGAUGAGCGAAAGCCAGGGGAGACAAACGGG